rnacentral:lncRNA from 1 species
AUGAUUUCUUGCGUAGAAUAGGAUACUCCAUCGCAUCUAAAUGUUGGUGAUGUGCUGAUCCUAAGGAGGAGUCUUUAGUUCAUUUAUUCUUCACUUCAAAUGCAGCUAAGAGUGUCUGGAGUUAUUUCCUAAAGAGAGCAGGAAUUCAAAUAGAAGGGUUGUCUAUACAUCAAGCAAUUACAAAAUGCUGGACGACUUUAGUUAUACCUAGAUUGAAGUCAGUCUUCCAAGCUUUACCUGCAUGCAUUGUAUAGGAGUUAUGGAAGAGAAGAAAUAGUUUGAAAUAUGGAGAAGCAGUGUCAGUUAGCAGAGUUAUUUACCAAGUUUCAUCAACGCUGCAAUCACUAGUUCAACUGAAAAAACCAGGAUUACAUGUUCCUCACAAAUGGCUUGACUUACUGACAAUGAUGGAGCCAUACACACCUUGACUGAAGUUCGAUAAAGUGCUAUGGGAAUUUCCCCCAAGAGGAUGGAUAAAAGUAAAUACGGAUGGAGCAUGCAGAGGGAAUCCAGGGAGAAGUUCAAUUGGAUUUUGUUUAAGAGAUGAAAUAGGUGACUUGAUAUAUGCAGAAGCAAGAGAAAUUAAGGAGGGCUCUAACAAUGAAGCUGAGGCAACGGCAAUAGUAGAGGCAAUGAGAAUGUGCAAAUCAAUGAACUUCAACAAUGUUUGGCUUGAGACAGAUUCAAUGAUGCUCCAAAUAAUAAUAGAUGAUGAGGCAAUAGCAAUAGUAGAGGCAAUGAGAAUGUGCAAAUCAAUGAACUUCAAUAAUGU